CAGCAGCCACGGUAAAACGUAGGGUGCAAGCGUUAAUCGGAAUUACUGGGCGUAAAGCGUGCGCAGGCGGUUAUAUAAGACAGAUGUGAAAUCCCCGGGCUCAACCUGGGAACUGCAUUUGUGACUGUAUAGCUAGAGUACGGCAGAGGGGGAUGGAAUUCCGCGUGUAGCAGUGAAAUGCGUAGAUAUGCGGAGGAACACCGAUGGCGAAGGCAAUCCCCUGGGCCUGUACUGACGCUCAUGCACGAAAGCGUGGGGAGCAAACAGGAUUAGAUACCCGAGUAGUCCCUGUCUCUUAUAC
rnacentral:rRNA from 1 species